UUUGACAUCCCCACAGAGCUACACAAACACGGUUUUGGUUUCCUAGGCGAAUAUCGUGAGUCACUUUUAUUAAAAGCAUCAUUACUACAGUUGGCAGCAAUUUACAGUUCAUCAUACAUGAUGGUUUCAAAAAAAAGAAAAAAAAAAAGAAGAAUACAUUUACAACAUUUAUGUCUGUAAACUUCAAGGCUAGUUAGAAUUGAGGUAAUGCUGUUCAGCUUUGUGGCUAAAGUAACAAAAGUCCAUUCAAAUAGAUAAAGGUACCUGAUUUUAUUCUUACACCAGUGCAUUAACAUGGAUACAAUGAGACAAUUUGACUGCAGUAAUUUCAUGUCGCUUUUUCACACUUUCUGGUGUUUAGUCAAAAGAGUAAAACUGAACAUUCAAAAGCUGCCUUCGUUAUUGCUGUCUCCACAGGUCGAGAGGUCUCCUCACCCAUUUGGAUUGUCAGUGUGAGAGACUGGGAACAGUCAGUGUAGGCUGAGAUAUGAGAGAACUUCGCCCGCUCCUAUCAGCAGAACAGUACAACACCACGAUUCUUCCUCAGCAGCGGAGAGUGUCUUAAUGCCGUUAAAUUGUACACCACUGAAUUUUACGAGAUGCUACUCAUUGUUACAAUAUCAACAGUAGAGAGAGGGAAAAAAAAUUACAACAAAACAAAACAAUAAUAUUACAAGUAGAGAGCAGCAUAGCACUAUCGGAACGAUUAAUUCCUAUAAUAUUUCAGAAAAUUUCCAUUUCAUCUAGAAGGCACUCACACAGCGCCAAAGACUUCAAGGAAAAAAAAAAAAAG